UACAGAGGGUGCGAGCGUUGUUCGGAAUUAUUGGGCGUAAAGAGCGUGUAGGCGGCUGGGUAGGUCCGUUGUGAAAACUCGAGGCUCAACCUCGAGACGCCGAUGGAAACCCUCCAGCUAGAGUCCGGAAGAGGAGAGUGGAAUUCCUGGUGUAGCGGUGAAAUGCGCAGAUAUCAGGAGGAACACCGGUGGCGAAGGCGGUUCUCUGGGCAUGUCCUGACGCUGAGGAGCGAAAGUGUGGGGAGCGAACAGG
rnacentral:rRNA from 1 species